UCUCUGUUGAUCGGGUGGAAUACCUUCUUUAUCCUGAAUCUUGGCCUUGACAUUUUCGAUAGUGUCUGAAGCCUCAACUUCUAGAGUUAUCGUUUUCCCAGUAAGGGUUUUUACAAAAAUUUGCAUUCCUCCUCUGAGACGAAGAACAAGGUGAAGAGUCGAUUCUUUCUGAAUAUUAUAGUCUGACAGCGUGCGUCCGUCUUCCAAUUGUUUACCAGCGAAGAUCAAUCUCUGUUGAUCGGGUGGAAUACCUUCUUUAUCCUGAAUCUUAGCCUUGACAUUUUCGAUAGUGUCUGAAGCCUCAACUUCUAGAGUUAUCGUUUUUCCUGUAAGGGUCUUGACGAAAAUUUGCAUACCACCACGAAGACGAAGAACAAGGUGAAGAGUCGAUUCUUUCUGAAUAUUAUAGUCGGACAGUGUACGUCCGUCUUCCAAUUGUUUACCAGCGAAGAUCAAUCUCUGUUGAUCGGGUGGAAUACCUUCUUUAUCCUGAAUCUUGGCCUUGACAUUUUCGAUAGUGUCUGAAGCCUCAACUUCUAGAGUUAUCGUUUUUCCUGUAAGGGUCUUGACGAAAAUUUGCAUACCACCACGAAGACGAAGAACAAGGUGGAGAGUUGAUUCCUUCUGAAUGUUGUAAUCUGAUAGUGUGCGUCCAUCUUCCAGUUGUUUACCCGCAAAAAUCAAUCUCUGUUGAUCUGGUGGAAUUCCUUCCUUGUCUUGAAUUUUUGCUUUUACAUUUUCUAUCGUAUCGGAAGCUUCAACUUCAAGUGUGAUAGUUUUUC